GAUGAACGCUGGCGGCGUGCCUAAUACAUGCAAGUCGAGCGAACAGACGAGGAGCUUGCUCCUCUGACGUUAGCGGCGGACGGGUGAGUAACACGUGGAUAACCUACCUAUAAGACUGGGAUAACUUCGGGAAACCGGAGCUAAUACCGGAUAAUAUAUUGAACCGCAUGGUUCAAUAGUGAAAGACGGUUUUGCUGUCACUUAUAGAUGGAUCCGCGCCGCAUUAGCUAGUUGGUAAGGUAACGGCUUACCAAGGCGACGAUGCGUAGCCGACCUGAGAGGGUGAUCGGCCACACUGGAACUGAGACACGGUCCAGACUCCUACGGGAGGCAGCAGUAGGGAAUCUUCCGCAAUGGGCGAAAGCUUGACGGAGCAACGCCGCGUGAGUGAUGAAGGUCUUCGGAUCGUAAAACUCUGUUAUUAGGGAAGAACAAAUGUGUAAGUAACUAUGCACGUCUUGACGGUACCUAAUCAGAAAGCAACGGCUAACUACGUG
rnacentral:rRNA from 1 species